ensembl:miRNA gga-mir-12217 gga-mir-12217
CCCCCGCCCCCUCACCAUGGCGGAGCUCCGCGGGUCGCACUGCGCGGCGCGGAAGGGCCGAAGUCCGCCGGGCGGGGCGGGGAGGG